UUCUUUUUUUUUUAAAUGUCUGCAAACGUGACGACGGUUGGGGUUUUUGGUUGUGUAAUUUGAAUGUAUUGGAUUACGGCGAAAUGUGUAAAAAGAGUGUGACUAGUGUCCACUUUUCGAUUAUAAUUUUAUAAGAAGUUGACACUGGCUCGAUGGACUGCCGACUGCGACAAUCAAAGACACGGUUGAUCAGCUGUACAAAGGCGUAAAACCUCUUGUAUCUUGAUCAUUUUGGUGAGAAGAUGAAGAAGAGCGUGACAUCCUGGUAGGAAAGUCGAAAAGUCCGACAAAGAUGAGAUCAAUUUACAUACAGGAUGCAACGGUGGACAGAGUAAAAGUGGCUUUGUGGAGAAACACCAACAAAGACGUCAGAACUGGGGAUUACGUCAAAAUCACUGAUUUGACAAUACACACUUACCAAACAAAGUACACAACUGAAACCAGCUUCAAUUCUACCUACACAACUUCAGUUACUAAAGUCGAACAACCAACUGUACAUGUGACGGUUACAGUAAUAGGUGCCUGUGUACAAGAUGACGUUACAGAACUUCUCCUCAGUGAUGACUCUGUGAGGGCAAUACCUUCACAAUUAUUAAUGGCUGCCCUUCCACAAGAACUUGAUGAAGACUUGGAUCCAGAAUCUUUCUUUGCAGAGAGAAAAACAAACUUAAGGCUGCAAUUAAAAGGAUCAGAAGUACUUUCAGUGAUACUUCAGUAAACUGUUAUACAUAUACAUGACAUUAUUCAGCAUUCCUAGUUUACCUUGUUUUUCAUAGUGUUUUUUUUAUAUAAAUCUACUACUUUUUCAUACUUUUUACAACAAGCUCCUACUUCUCCUAGUUAUGCCCCCCUCAAAAGAAGGGGGAUAUUGCUUUGCACAUGUUGGUGUGUUGGUCUGUCCGUCCGUCCACCACAUGAUUGUCUGAUGAUAACUCAAGAACGCUUAGGCCUAGGAUCAUGAAACUUCAUACGUACAUUGAUCAUGACUGGCAGAUGACCAACUAUUGAUUUUGAGGUCAAUGGACACAGGUGAAGGUCAUAGUGACUUGAAAUAAGAAAAUGGUUUCUAAAUGUGACUCCAGAAUGCUUACACUAGGAUCAUGAAACUUAAUAGAGACAUUGAUCAUGACCAGCAUCUGACCCCUACUGAUUUUCAGGUCAAUAGGUCAAAGGUCAAGGUCACAGUGACCUGAAACAGUAAAAUGGUUAACUGGAAAUAGCAAAAUGUUUUCCGAAUGAUAACUCAAGAACGCUUACCCCUGGGAUCAUGAAACUUCAUAGGGGCAUUGAUCAUAACUGGCAGAUGACUCAUUGAUUUUCAGGUCACUAGGUCAAAGGUCACAGUGAAACGAGGCAGUAAAGUGGUUUAUUGGAAAUAGGAAAAUGCUUUCCAGAUGAUAACUCAAGAAGGCUUAUGCCUGGUAUCAUGAAACCAUCACCACCUCCACCACCACCACAAUGACAAAAAACGUAUUCACACAAUGGCUGCCGUUACAACUGACAGCCCAUAUGGGGGGCAUGCAUUUUUACAAACAGCCCUUGUUCUUUUUCAAGUAACCAGUCUUAAAAACUUUUAAUGGGCCAAAAAAUAAUUUGGUUUUGUUAAUUUAAUGUCACCUGAAUAUGUUUACAUGUAUUCAUAGUGUUUUAAAUAUAGUGAACUUGUGUUUGCUGUAGGUAUAAUGGCAUUUUUAACAUACCUGAAAUUACGCAUAUACUUGCUUGAUUUUGUCAUUUGCAAAGAUUGCCAACAUACAACAUGAAGAAGUAAUUAGGCAAAAUUAUUUUUACAAUACUUGAGGCUGAACCCUACACAUUCAGUUUAAUUGGGUCUAGCCACUCAUUAGUUAUCAAUAAGAAAGCAGGGAGAUUUAAUAUUUUAGUUUCAUCUACAGAUCAUGAGAUGUAGCAUUUAUAGGUACAGGAAAAGACUCGACCUUGUAUAAAUGCAAAGGAUCUUUCAGUUAUAAAAUUAGAAGUUUUAAAAUUAAAAACAAGCUUGAUCUUGUAAACAGAAAAUCAUUCAUUGAGUACACGACUUUCCAUUGAUUAAAUCAGGAACUCCUAACUUAAAUUCUUCUAAUUCAUCAUGUAUGCUAUUGGUUUCUCUUAUAUGAUCCAUAAGAAUACUUGUAACAUAAUAAAUGACUUGGUGCAUAUUUGAGGAUGUUGACUGCAAUCCACAGUCAAUAAAUUUGUUUGGUAGCAUGUUAUAUUUAAUACCUGACAUACAGUUGUCCAUUCUUAUAAAUGGUUAGUUUAUUCAUGUGAUCAGCAAGAAAAUUUACAUGAUCCAUUGUUGUAGUGCCGAAAAGUCCUGUUGAAAGUUUAUCUAUGAAAAGCAAAAGUGCACUUUUACUACUCGAUUAGAUUAUGGUUGAUUAAAGAAUGAGACUAUAAAUACUCGAAAUUGUACACUUGUAUUUUGCUCCUGUUCAUUGUCUGAGGCUUUUUAUUCGAGUCAUCAUGUGAAAUAACAUGUGACACGAUUGAUUGUUCACUUAACAAGCUUGAAGUGCAGGCACAUCAAAUUAAUUUGUGUUCCUCUUCAAUUAAAGCAUGAUGUCUAUUUAUUAAGAGGGUGUUAUUUUCAACUGCUAAUAUGUAAAAGGUGAUUUUCCUAUAAAAGACUAUUUUACAUCUUAACCAUUCGAAAAUUUAAGUGCGUUUUCCUUUGUUAUUUAGCCCUUUUACAUUUACAGUACAUAUGUUAAUACUCAUACAAAAGACAGAGAAUUACAUGAUGCUAUUCUUGUUCCAAACAUUUAUAAAUCAUUUUGUAGAACUAGAUUAUUAUGCCCCCCUUCGAAGAAGAGGGGGUAUAUUGCUUUGCUCAUGUCGGUCGGUCGGUCUGUCUGUCCACCACGUGGUUGUCAGACGAUAACUCGAGAACCCUUGGGCCUAGGAUCAUGAAACUUCAUAGGUACAUUGAUCAUGACUUGCAGAUGACCCCUAUUGAUUUUGAGGUCACUAGGUCAAAGGUCAAGGUCACGGUGACCAGAAAUAGUAAAAUGGUUUUUGAAUGAUAACUCAAGAACGCAUACGCCUAGGAUCAUGAAACUUCAUGGGUAGAUUGAUCAUGACUUGCAGAUGACCCCUAUUGAUUUUGAGGUCACUAGGUCGAAGGUCAAGGUCACGGUGACCCGAAAUAGUAAAAUGGUUUCCGGAUGAUAACUCAAGAACGCAUACGCCUAGGAUCAUGAAACUUCAUGGGUAGAUUGAUCAUGACUCGCAGAUGACCCCUAUUGAUUUUGAGGUCACUAGGUCAAAGGUCAAGGUCACGGUGACCCGAAAUAGUAAAAUGGUUUAGGAUGAUAACUCAAGAACGUUUACGCCUAGGAUCAUGAAACUUCAUAGGUAGAUUGAUCAUGACUUGCAGAUGACCCCUAU